GACGAACGCUGGCGGCGUGCCUAAUACAUGCAAGUUGAGCGCUGAAGGUUGGUACUUGUACCAACUGGAUGAGCAGCGAACGGGUGAGUAACGCGUGGGGAAUCUGCCUUUGAGCGGGGGACAACAUUUGGAAACGAAUGCUAAUACCGCAUAAAAACUUUAAACACAAGUUUUAAGUUUGAAAGAUGCAAUUGCAUCACUCAAAGAUGAUCCCGCGUUGUAUUAGCUAGUUGGUGAGGUAAAGGCUCACCAAGGCGAUGAUACAUAGCCGACCUGAGAGGGUGAUCUGCCACAUUGGGACUGAGACACGGCCCAAACUCCUACGGGAGGCAGCAGGAGGGAAUCUUCGGCAAUAGACGAAAGGCUGACCGAGCAACGCCGCGUGAGUGAAGAAGGUUUUCGGAUCGUAAAACUCUGUUGGUAGAGAAGAACGUUGGUGAGAGUGGAAAGCUCAUCAAGUGACGGUAACUACCCAGAAAGGGACGGCUAACUACGUG
rnacentral:rRNA from 1 species